rnacentral:misc_RNA from 1 species
AGCAGCCGCGGUAAUUCCAGCUCCAAUAGCGUAUAUUAAAGUUGUUGCAGUUAAAAAGCUCGUAGUUGAAUUUCGGGACUAAUAUGUCGGUCGUGCCUCGGUACGUACUGGUUUAUUGGUUUCUCCUUUCUGAAGAACCAUGAUGUCAUUUAUUUGGUGUCGUGGGGAAUCAGGACUGUUACUUUGAAAAAAUUAGAGUGUUUAAAGCAGGCUCACGCUUGAAUACAUUAGCAUGGAAUAAUGAAAUAGGACGUUUGAUUCUAUUUUGUUGGUUUCUAGGAUCGACGUAAUGAUUAAUAGGGAUAGUUGGGGGCAUUAGUAUUCAAUUGUCAGAGGUGAAAUUCUUGGAUUUAUUGAAGACUAACUACUGCGAAAGCAUUUGCCAAGGAUGUUUUCAUUAAUCAAGAACGAAAGUUAGGGGAUCGAAGACGAUCAGAUACCGUCGUAGUCUUAACCAUAAACUAUGCCGACUAGGGAUCGGAUGAUGUUAAUUUUUUAAUGACUCAUUCGGCGCCUUACG